rnacentral:lncRNA from 1 species
UCUUCUUCUUGAUCUCGGGUCGAAUUAGGUGAGUGUCAGAAAGAGGAAUCAACGAUGGUUUCCUCCAUGAUGGUCUCCUCGGCUGCCACCUUCACCCGGGCUUCCCCGGCUCAAUCCAGCAUGGUGGCGCCGUUCACCGGCCUCAAGUCCGCCUCCGCCUUCCCUGUCACCAGGAAGCCCAACGCCGACCUCUCCCACCUCCCCAGCAAUGGCGGCCGAGUUCAGUGCAUGAAGGUACGCACGUACAAGGCUCGUGGCUCGAGUCGGAAACCUCUGUUACCGAGAUAGCCGUUACGAAUCAUAUACUGUGGAUGUAAUUCUUACGACAGGUGUGGCCGAUCGAGGGCAUGAAGAAGUUUGAGACCCUGUCCUACCUUCCGACACUGAAGGACGAGGAGUUGCUGAAGCAGAUCGAGUACCUUCUCCGCUCCAAAUGGAUUCCCUGCUUGGAGUUCUGCCCCGUAAGUAACUUCACCUGCCCCAUGGUGGGCAUCCGGUAACCUUGAUAUCCAGCAUGCAUACCGGGGAUUGAAGUCGAUCGUAAUGACCAUAACAGAAAGGGUUCGUGUGGCGCGAGAACCACCGGUCGCCGGGGUACUACGACGGGCGGUACUGGACCAUGUGGAAGCUGCCCAUGUUCGGGUGCACCGACGCUGUGCAGGUGGCGAAGGAGGUGGAGGAGUGCAAGAAGGAGUACCCCCACGCCUUCAUCCGCAUCAUCGGCUUCGACAACAACCGCCAGGUGCAGUGCAUCAGUUUCAUCGCCUACAAGCCGACCGGCUACUAGACGAUUCGGAUCCGGCUCUUCGGAUUUGCUUUCUUUGGUUCAGUGUUGGAUGUUUCCCCUUCUCUCGUUGUCUCCUCUACGCAACCGCCGACAGUGCAGCAGCGCACUGAGGCCGUCUAUGUUUUGUUUCCCCAAGAACGCGGAGCUUGUAUGUUAAGAAGUUUAUUAUGGACGUUCGCUUAUUUAUAAUAAAGGCUACCCAAUGUGUUUGAUUUUACCUGUAUCCGUCUGCUGUGGGUGGAAGAAUCCCGUACCGUAGUCGGCAGACGUGUGGUGUGGGGGUUGAAGCUUUGCUCUGGCCCAACCUAAUGUUAUCUGGGCUCUGUAUUGGGCCGAUCUCGGCCUACUUGGACGAUCAACCGCUGGGUCAACGGUCAAACACCGCGCGCAUGUCUUCUUCUUCUCCCUCCCCUACUAAUUUAAUGGAAAUAGAUAUAUGGACCCCCAAAAAAAAAAAAAAAAAAAUGUCAUCAUCUCGCAUCCGACGCACCAACAAACGCGCCGUGGCAAAAGCAGUACGAGAGGUUUCCUAUCGUCGUCGGUCGUGAAGAGUAGCAAAGUAGAUCGAGCCCAAGCGAGGAACGUCACGUGCGAGCAUAAUUCGUGUCGGCCCUUCGCUCGUGGUGGGGUACCGCCGCGGUGCCCGGUACCGUGUCGGAUGAUGUAUAUUAAUGAAGCCAACCGUGUGUGAUAUCUCAACUCAUGCUGUAAUCACCGUUUGAAUAGUUUGAUGAACGGUGUCCAUAUCCACAGCAUGCGUGACACAUUUGGUACCUACCCAUUAAAAUACAAUACCAUUCAGAGCACUCUCUCGAUUUAUUUUACUUUUUCUAUUAUUCUUCUUCUUCUUCUUCUUUUUUUCCUUUGGAUAAAUCCUCCUCCGACUCCCUUCUUCCCCAUUCCUAUCUCCUUCCCCUCUUCGGAUUCUCUCUCUCUCUCUCUCUCUCUCUCUCUAGUAGGGAGGCGGAUAAGGUACAUAAAAAUCCGGUCUUUGCCUCCUGCGCUUCUUUUUCUUCCCUUCUUCUUCGAUUCUGAGGGGUGAUCGGCUUCUUUUGUGGGAGAUCCCUCUCGUGGUGUCGCGCGCCGGUGGUUUUCCAAACAGAGUCGGGAUUUUUACUGGUUUUUGGAGUUUUCCUUCUUCUCGAAAUUUCGCACCCUCCUGCUUUUAUGGGAAACAGUGAAAUGUUCAAACUUGCCUGCAAAUACGUCCGAGUUUUCGUAGCUGCGGCGUUGUUUCUACCGGAUUCAAACGGAGAAAACCGCUUUUCUUGUUGGCUAAUUUAGUUGUCACGACAGGCGUUGCCAUCGUAAAGAUUGGGCGAACAUGAACCGCUGCGCGAUGCAACAGAACCCUUUCGCCGCCUACGAAGAGAUGAGGACCGCUUUCGCCGCCGCGGAAAGGAAGCCCCCUGUCUUCUGCCCGAAGCCCCGGCGGCUCAGCCCGCCCGCUGGCGUCGCCGAUCCGAUCUGGCCCCUCCGUUGGCACUCGAGGUUGACAUAUAUAACAACCCCUCCUCUGCUACGACACCGCAAAAGUUUCCCCUUUUCGUGUAUCUGAUUCCACCUCUCUCUGUCUCUCUCUUCUGCUCUUCUCAGUCGUCAAGCAGAUUUCUCCGAUUCGAACGCCGUGGCGGACCUUCUUGACAUCUUGCUCGCAAAGGUGAGAUUUUUUGUUGACGUUGUAAUAACAUGUGUAUUUGAUGUAGCUGAUACCGAAGAAAAUAGAUCUGGAAAACCUCUGUUAUUGACGUCUAUUAUCACGAUUUGUUCGCAGGAUGGUGAAGAACAGAACCGAGAGGCUUCUUCGCCGCCCUUCUUCUGCGGCUCGCCUCCAGACCGUGCGGCAAACCCGGUCGUCCAUGACGCCCGUUUCGGCGAGGACCGUCCGCCGCUGGCGCCGUUCGCCCCUGUGCAACCGACCCAGUCCGUCACGCCGAUGUCCCCCAAGCACGCCAAGUUCGGGCUCCUGCCGGCGGCCGUGCGGGUCGAGGGUUUUGAUUGCCUCGAUCGCGGCUGCAGCAGCAUCGCUGCUGUGGCCUGAACGCCCGCAUGCGCCUCCGAGCUUUCUUUUGGAGCGCGGUGAGAGGAAGAGUGAGAGGAAGGGAGAAUUGACAUCAACAAAUCAAAGAAACCAGCUGUAGGAGAAGAACAAGUUGGUAAUCUGGGAAUGCGUUUUGGCUCUCCAUGUAAACUGUACAUCUUACUAGUGGUGCACCAAUGUUGUGUACUAUUUGUGUGGGAGAAUUGUAUGUAGAUAUCAAAAUAAGGAAGAUAGAGAGUUAGGAGGAGGAGGAGAAGGAAAGCCAAGUUUUUUUGUGUUUUGUUUUGAUCCAUAUGGACGGUAAGAGGUUCUAUUUCAUCCUGUGCUGAAAUAUUCAUCAUCUUGUAUAGAACUCUUAGGAGGAAAUCCUCGAAUCAUGAAAUUGUGUAUCUAUUCAUCAUGUAUAAAAUUUUGUAUUCCUUUUCCUCUCUAUGUUUAUGGUGCCUCUUGGAGCUCUCGAGACGGUGGUGUUGCGAUUGAUGUGGCUGCCACCAGCGAAAAGAUGUUGCGCUUAGUGUUAAGAGCAUCGUUGGACGGAGAUGACUGGAGACGUGGCUUCGUGUUGGAAUAAUGUCAUCUUAUCAGAGCAGAUAUGGUCAAUAUCGUCGACUGAUACGAGAGGCGAUGGGUAAGGAGGAAGAGGUGGAGGAUAAGAAGGAAAUGGGGGCAGGAGGGCCCAGCAAAAGGGGUGUGAGGUCAUGUCUUCUCCACCGAGCUGUCUCUGUUCAAGUGGCGCUGUCGCGAAGAAAAAAAAUAACGAAGUCCAUGCCACCACCAUUCUUUGAAUUCUCCACAUGUGUUCGUCCGUGAUGACUGACUAAUUCAACAACGGAUGGAUCGACUCCGAGACGGACUAAAUGUUCUGUGCCUAACGAAGGAUGGACACAAGUGGAUAAUGCUUUGACAAAGGUGGCUAAUUGGCACGCGAUUUCCAGGGUCUUCUGUAUGCACAGAGUCAUGAGCUGUAAUAGGCCAAUGUCGUGAACUAUAUAAUAAAUACAUCGAUGGAAGUCAUGAGCAAGUGGGGAAAAGAAAAGCCUCGGCGAUUUCUUUCUACCCGUUGCCGUCCUGCUUUGCGUCCGACCGUCUCAUUCCAUCCCGCAUGAGAUACGGUGCUGUCGGAAGAGAUUCGGACUCGCAUUAGGUUCCGAUCUCUCCGAGCGUUCGUUCAGACACAUCGCCAGGGAAAAGAAAAAGAGUAGUAGAAUCCAUCCAACUUGUGCUUGCCAAAUAAGCAGAUAAGAGGAACGAAGGCUGGGUUCACAAGCAGUCAACGUGGCCACUUUCCACACCACGGCCUUCGUCCGCAGACCAUUCCUCAUCCCAUCCAAGUGAGUCCAAAAUCUCCACUGCUCACCUCAGGCGUGAAUGCAGAUAAAGAGGAAACAAAGCGGACGUGUCCUCUGCGGAACAUGUGGUCCGCCAUGCACGUAUCCCCUGUUACUCUUGGCCUCGGCGAGACGACGUGCCGAUCCAUGGGUGGAAGAGAGACGGAAGGAAUAGGAGAGAUCCCACGACGUGCAAUGUUUCAUCGCCCACCGUGCUGCACUCGCACAUGGUCUGCGGCUUCUCCCCGGCGCAUGGAAACCAAAUAUGGGAUCGGUGGGAGAAACAGGAUCGGAAACCUGUCUCCACGGUACCACUUUCCUUCCGGUACCCAACCGAUGAAGGGAUGCGUAGAGAUCGUAAUCGAAGCAUCUGACUGCAGGAACGCUUAGAGAAUUCACUCGUUGCAAGCACCAUAGCCUCGUCCUCGUACCAUGCCAUUCUCGAUGAAGGAAUCAGAAACUGGGCGAAGCGAAGGACAUGCCACGUAAAGCAGAAGAACAGGGCACAAAGAAAGGAUUCCGGUGGAGAAUAAAGAGGGAGGAGAGUCUGGUCCAUUGCUUUUGUCGACAGAUGGGUAUCGUUUGAGACCCACCUGGAUCGCUAUGGUGAUGAUAGAUAGAUAGAUAGAUUCUUGAUGUUUAUUCUCCCAUCAAAUCAGUAACAGGGAGGAGUGAAACGGAGCGAGAGAGAGGAGGGACAACACAUUUACGGAGAACCUACAUGUGUCGAGACAGGAAAACAAUGACAGGCUACAGGUGGGUUGCGUACACUCAAACCUUUGUCGCCGCAACUGGAUGCGAAUGGGAGCUGUCGGCGAAGCAAGCAAUCGGACCUGAGUUGGCUCACCGCAGAUGCCUAAUGAUUGACGCGGAAAAGGCCAAAUCGAAGAGAUUUGGUUUGCACGAUUGGGGUGUGCAGCCAACUCGGGUUGAGUCACCUGCUGCGGCGCCUUUGAUUAGCUCUUCCUCUGGUGGGGGUGGACGUGUCCACCUGUGGCCAUAAGACCCGCCGCGAGUGGUGGUCAAAACAAAGAAGGCCUUGGGAACGACGGAGGCCGACUUUAACGUGGCAAACGGCUGUGUGCCACCUUUACUGAUGUGCCCAAAUCUUUAACAAAAAUAAAUAUUCGUGGACCGCUGGGGUGCUGAGAGCAUCUGCUUUUUAUAAUACGAAAAGAAAAGCCUGUUCGUACGACAAUCUUACUCUGGCGGAGUGGCUGAAGGAACAUUCCUUUUUCUUCUUAUAUAUAUAAUUACUUUCUUCGUGUUCGUGAGCUCCAACUCAGAAACUUCCCUUCGUUCCUAUCUUUACACAUGUUUGCCUGAAUAGAUGCUUGGAGGUGCUGUCAACGUAAGAACGCUUGAAACUGAU